CCUACGGGGGACAGCAGUGGGGAAUAGUGCACAAUGGGGGAAACCCUGAUGCAGCGACGCCGCGUGAGAGAUGAAGUAGUUCGGUAUGUAAAGCUCGAUCAGCAGGGAAGAAAAUGACGGUACCUGACUAAGAAGCCCCGGCUAACGACGUGCCAGCAGCCGCGGUAAUACGUAGGGGGCAAGCGUUAUCCGGAUUUACUGGGUGUACAGGGAGCGUAGACGGUCCUGCAAGCCAGAUGUGAAAGCCCGGGGCUCAACCCCGGGACUGCAUUUGGAACUGUAAGGCUAGAGUGUCGGAGAGGCAGGCGGACUUCCUCGUGUAGCGGUGACCUGCGUAGAUAUUAGGCG
rnacentral:rRNA from 1 species